UAGAGUUUGAUCCUGGCUCAGGAUGACGCUAGCGAUAGGCCUAACACAUGCAGUCGAGGGGCAGCAUAGAGUAGCAAUACUUUGAUGGCGACCGGCGCACGGGUGAGUAACACGUAUGCAACCUACCUACAUCAGCGGCAUAACCCGGAGAAAUUCGGACUAAUACCGCAUAAUACAGGGAUGCCGCAUGGCAAUAUUUGUUAAAGAUUUAUCGGAUGUAGAUGGGCAUGCGUUCCAUUAGCUAGUUGGUAAGGUAACGGCUUACCAAGGCAACGAUGGAUAGGGGAACUGAGAGGUUUGUCCCCCACACUGGAACUGAGACACGGACCAGACUCCUACGGGAGGCAGCAGUGAGGAAUAUUGGUCAAUGGACGAGAGUCUGAACCAGCCAAAUCGCGUGAAGGAGACUGCCCUACGGGUUGUAAACUUCUUUUGUACAGAUAAAGACAUUACGUGUAAUGUAUUGCAUGUACUGUACGAUAGCAUCGCUACUCGUGCAGCAGCU
rnacentral:rRNA from 1 species